rnacentral:rRNA from 1 species
UACGUAGGGGCUAGCGUUAUCCGGAAUUACUGGGCGUAAAGGGUGCGUAGGCGGUCUUUCAAGCCAGAAGUGAAAGGCUACGGCUCAACCGUAGUAAGCUUUUGGAACUGUAAGACUUGAGUGCAGAAGAGAAGAGUGGAAUUCCAAGUGUAGCGGUGAAAUGCGUAGAUAUUUGGAGGAACACCAGUGGCGAAGGCGACUCUUUGGUCUAUUACUGACGCUGAGGUACGAAAGCAUGGGUAGCAAACAGGAUUAGAUACCCGCGUAGUCCCUGA